GCUGAGCAGCCCCGGAGGCCCAGUGAGCACGGGGAGGGGCUAGACGCGGGCUGGACAACCAUUAGCGAGCUGGGGCCGGGCGGCUCGGGGACUCUAUUUCCCAGGGGGCGUAGCGGCCGCGGCCGGAAGCGGCGCGCCUGAGGCCCAGUGCGCAGGCGCACGCGGGGCCUUGGUGUAUAUAUAAGGAAGGG
ensembl:misc_RNA predicted gene, 27494